AUGCGUGAGUCCUUCUCCAUCCACAUCAGCCAGGCUGGUGUCCAGAUUGGCAAUGUCUGCUGGGAGCUCUAUUGUCUGGAACAUGGCAUCCAGCCCAAUGGCCAGAUGCUAAGUGACAAGACCAUUUUGGGAGGAGAUGACUCCAACACACUUUUCAGUGAGACGGGUGCUGGCAAGCAUGUGCCCAGGGCAGUUUUUGUAGACCUGGAACUCACCGUCAUUGAUGAAGUUUGCACUGGCACCUACUGCCAGCUCUUCCACCCUGAGCAGCUCAUCACAGGCAAGGAAGAUGAUGCCAACACCUGUGCCCGAUGGCACUACACCAUGGGCAAGGAGAUCAUUGACCUUGUCUUGGAUAGAAUUCGCAAGGUGACUGAGCAGUGCACAGGGUUUUCGGGGCUUCUUGGUUUUCCACAGCUUUGGUGGGGAAACUGGGUCUAUGUUCACCUCCCUGCUGAUGGGAUGUCGCCAUUUACCUAGCCCCCCAGGUUUCCACAGCUGGAGUUGAGCCCUACAAUUCCAUCCUCACCACCCACACCACCCUGAAGCACUCUGAUUGUGCCUUCAUGGUAGACAAUUAGGCCAUCUCUAACUUUUUUCCUAGAAACCUUGAUAUUGAACGCCCAACCUACAUCAACCUGAAUAGGUUGAUAGGACAGAUUUAACUUAGUAUCACUCCAUCAAUGCUUCCCUUAGAUUUGAUGGAGCCCUGAAUGUUGAGCUGAGAGACUUCCAGACCAACUUGGUACCCUGUCCUCGCCUUCACUUCCCUCUGGCCACAUAUGCCCCUGUCAUCUCUGCUGAGAAAGUCUACCAUGAACAACUUUCUGUAGCAGAGAUCGCCAGUGCUUGCUGUGAGCCAGCCAACCAGAUGGUGAAAUGUGACCCUCGCCACGGUAAAUACAUGGCAAGAUCUCAU